rnacentral:misc_RNA from 1 species
GCUGGAAAUUUAAGGCUUUAUUCGAACAACUUGCUUUUUCUGUUUUUAUCGUAAAAUACAAUAACAGAAAGCAAUAAAGGCAAAUGAACCAAAUGGCGCCUCAAUUUGACAAAUAGAUUAUUAACCUCGCAGUAAGGCCAUCUUUUUUUCUAAUAAACAAAGUAUUGCUAAUUUGAAGGACCUAACAUCAGUUACAUAUGCCAACAUGGCCGGCCACAACGUGGAGCAUCUAUCUAACAAAUUGUAAUGUCUGAUUUUUUUUUUUUUUCCCUUUUCUUUUGGAAGGGGGAGGGGACAAAAUGAAAGAACUAUUCAGCUUCCAUCUAAAAGUAUAAUGAUUUGUAUACAUACUCCUGUAUUGUAUCCUCCCACCUUGAGGAAAGUUCGGGAAGGUGACACUCUUCCGCUAGCCAUGUCAACUCGACUAGCAUCUUGAACGAAAAGCUCCUGCAUAAAUCACCGUACAAGCUCUUGCUCCAAACUCUUUCAAAGCUUCUCCAGAAAUUUAAAAAAAAAAAAAACAAUAUCCAUGGGAAUUUGUUAGAUUAUCUAACAUGCUGUGCUUUCUCCAUCUGAAUUCUCAAAUGCCUCUCACCAUUUUGUAGACCAGGAUAAAUACUUAAUGCAUGUUCAUUUGCCCAGGUAACACCAUCCCACUAUAUCUAAAAGAGAGCACUCCAUACAGCUCCA